UACGUAGGUGGCAAGCGUUAUCCGGAAUUAUUGGGCGUAAAGAGCGCGCAGGUGGUUAAUUAAGUCUGAUGUGAAAGCCCACGGCUUAACCGUGGAGGGUCAUUGGAAACUGGUUGACUUGAGUGCAGAAGAGGGAAGUGGAAUUCCAUGUGUAGCGGUGAAAUGCAUAGAUAUCACGCAGAACUCCGAUUGCGAAGGCAGCUUACUAAGCCAUAACUGACACUGAAGCACGAAAGCGUGGGGAUCAAACAGG
rnacentral:rRNA from 1 species